rnacentral:sRNA from 1 species
ACAUUUAAUAGCCGUAUUUUUUUUAAAUCUCAGAUACUGUUUUAUUGGAAUAAAUCCUACUUUGUAUGGAUCUAGGUAGUUUGUUGACUGCUGCAAUCUUACAAAGUUGAUGUAAAAUGGGAGGGUUCAGCCAUUAGAAGUAAAUUUAAAGUAAUGGGUCUAUUAGAUACAUGUAAAACAUUUAAAAUCCUGAUUGCGUAGAAGGAAUGUUGCAGCAACUGAAGUACUGGCUUCCUGUAAUAGAUCCAAGUGCCAAACAAAAGUUGAAAUUGGAAUCUGUUAAUGAUAUAUGUACAUGCUCCAAGAAAAGACAGGAAUAAAUAGAAAGCUUGAUUAUCAGUAAAUGACCAAUAUCCAUUUGUAGUUGCCAUAUUUGAUGCACAGCUUAAGCUACCGCUCAAACUCAAUGUCGAUUAUAUACUUAUCUAUUUCUGUCUCAGCUAGCUUAUUAUAUCCAUUCUUUUCAUCAUCUAAUCACCUUAGAAAGGCAUGUAAGUUUCCAUAGAGUCAAAAGUUUUUCUUCAUUGUUAAAAAAAAAAGGUUUGAAAAUCAAAAAUCUUGUGCAAUUUUAGUAGUGUAUUGUACAAUUUGUCCAGUGAUUGUUUUGUACAUUCAAUAAGAGUGAUUACUUGGGUAUUCAGAUAAUAAUCUUUUAACUGUUUUCUCCAUAUAUCUUAGAGAUAAAUACUAUAUGUUUUAUUUACUCUUUAGCAAUUGAAAGGCUCCUUAGGUCCUGGACGUGCAGGUGCGUUUUAUUGUGAUUAGUCUGUCUGUCCAUUCUUCCAUCAAUCCAACAUUACUUGUCCAUGGUAUAAUUUCUCUCUGCCACCCCCACCCCCUUGGCCCAAUCUGGCUCAAACUUCACACACAGAUUGCUUGUGGGUAAAAGGUUUGCACCGACCUUGUAAUGACUAUUAAUAAGUAAAAGGUCAAGUUCAUAAAAGUCCUCAGUGAAAAAUCUUUUUGUGGACCAGUAUCUGCCCUUAGCCCUAUUAGCUUAUACAUGUACUGCCUGUGGGUAAAAGGGAUGCAGUGAUUUUAAGAAGAAGUUUCUAGGUCAAAGUUGAAGGUCAUAGCAGAUAUUUUUGAAAUUCUGCUUCUGAGCAUAAUGUAUCUCUUAAUGACCUGUCUUUUGUUCAGACUUUAUGAAAAGACUACCAUAAGUAAGUGGUGCAUGUGCAGUGACCUUGAAUUGAGAUUCUGUGCCUGGACAUUUUUUGUUCUGCAAAGUUAAUGCCAGUCUUUCCUAAAAAAAAAAAUUGGAUUCUAGAAGUUCAUCUCUACGUAAAGUGUUUGUAUAAUUACCUGUAUGUAUGUUGAUCAUUAAUAAUAUGUUAAAUUAUUUUAUCUGAAAUCAUUCCAGACACAUAGCUAUAAGGACAUUCAUGUCCUGUUUUGUUAUAGACAUUGCAAUUUAUAUUAAUACAGAUGAUUCAAAGUUUUUGAAACUGCUUGAUUUUUUAUUACCUGUCAGUUGGGAGAAAAAAAACUUCAUUCAAAUGGUUUUUUUUUGUUGCAUUUUGAUUCAUGUAUGAAUGUUAGUUCGAUUUUUCGUCUUAAUUGUUCAUUGAAGUUACAAUGUACUUGUAUGUAUACAAAUGUAUAAUGGAAGAGUCACUGCAAUUGGUCAUAUUGAGCUUUACAUUUGAAAUAAAAACUUCCGAUACCUGUC